UGGGGAAUUUUGGACAAUGGACGCAAGUCUGAUCCAGCCAUGCCGCGUGCGGGAAGAAGGCCUUCGGGUUGUAAACCGCUUUUGUCAGGGAAGAAACGAGUUUCUCUAAUACAGAGACUUAAUGACGGUACCUGAAGAAUAAGCACCGGCUAACUACGUGCCAGCAGCCGCGGUAAUACGUAGGGUGCAAGCGUUAAUCGGAAUUACUGGGCGUAAAGCGUGCGCAGGCGGUUAUAUAAGACAGAUGUGAAAUCCCCGGGCUCAACCUGGGACCUGCAUUUGUGACUGCAUAGCUAGAGUACGGUAGAGGGGGAUGGAAUUCCGCGUGUAGCAGUGAAAUGCGUAGAUAUGCGGAGGAACACCGAUGGCGAAGGCAAUCCCCUGGGCCUGCACUGACGCUCAUGCACGAAAGCGUGGGGAGCAAACA
rnacentral:rRNA from 1 species